rnacentral:rRNA from 1 species
UGCGAAGGGGGCUAGCGUUGUUCGGAAUUACUGGGCGUAAAGGGCUCGUAGGCGGCCAACUAAGUCAGACGUGAAAUCCCUCGGCUUAACCGGGGGAACUGCAUCUGAUACUGGAUGGCUUGAGUUCGGGAGAGGGAUGUGGAAUUCCAGGUGUAGCGGUGAAAUGCGUAGAUAUCUGGAGGAACACCGGUGGCGAAGGCGGCAUCCUGGACCGACACUGACGCUGAGGAGCGAAAGCCAGGGGGAGCAAACGGG